CAGCAGCCGCGGGAACACGAAGGGGGCUAGCGUUGUUCGGAUUUACUGGGCGUAAAGCGCACGUAGGCGGACUUUUAAGUCAGGGGUGAAAUCCCGGGGCUCAACCCCGGAACUGCCUUUGAUACUGGAAGUCUUGAGUAUGGUAGAGGUGAGUGGAAUUCCGAGUGUAGAGGUGAAAUUCGUAGAUAUUCGGAGGAACACCAGUGGCGAAGGCGGCUCACUGGACCAUUACUGACGCUGAGGUGCGAAAGCGUGGGGAGCAAACAGGAUUAGAUACCCCAGUAGUCCCUGUCUCUUAUAC
rnacentral:rRNA from 1 species